rnacentral:rRNA from 1 species
CCUACGGGAGGCAGCAGUGUGGAAUAUUGGACAAUGGGGGGAACCCUGAUCCAGCCAUGCCGCGUGUGUGAAGAAGGCCUUUUGGUUGUAAAGCACUUUAAGCGAGGAGGAGGCGCUCUAGGAUAAUACCCUAGAUGCGUGGACGUUACUCGCAGAAUAAGCACCGGCUAACUCUGUGCCAGCAGCCGCGGUAAUACAGAGGGUGCGAGCGUUAAUCGGAUUUACUGGGCGUAAAGCGCGCGUAGGUGGCUAAUUAAGUCAAAGGUGAAAUCCCCGGGCUUAACUUGGGAAUUGCAUUCGAUACUGGUUAGCUAGUGUAUGGGAGAGGAUGGUAGAAUGCCAGGUGUAGCGGUGAAAUGCGUAGAGAUCUGGAGGAAUACCGAUGGCGAAGGCAGCCAUCUGGCCUAAUACUGACACUGAGGUGCGAAAGCAUGGGGAGCAAACAGGAUUAGAUACCCCUGUAGUC